rnacentral:siRNA from 1 species
CGCAAUGUGAUUUCUGCCCAG